AGAGCGAACGCUGGCGGCAGGCCUAACACAUGCAAGUCGAGCGCCCGUAGCAAUACGGGAGCGGCAGACGGGAUAGUAACACGUGGGAACGCGCCCUUCGGUUCGGAAUAACUCAGGGAAACUUGAGCUAAUACCGGAUACGCCCUUACGGGGAAAGAUUUAUUGCCGAAGGAACGGCCCGCGUCCGAUUAGCUAGUUGGUGAGGUAAUGGCUCACCAAGGCGACGAUCGGUAGCUGGUCUGAGAGAAUGACCAGCAUCACUGGGACUGAGACACGGCCCAGACUCCUACGGGAGGCAGCAGUGGGGAAUAUUGGACAAUGGGCGCAAGCCUGAUCCAGCCAUGCCGCGUGGAUGAUGAAGGCCUUAGGGUGUAAAGUCCUUUUAACGGGGAAGAUAAUGACGGUACCCGUAGAAUAAGCCCCGGCUAACUUCGUGCCAGCAGCCGC
rnacentral:rRNA from 1 species